CUACAGUUUUUUAUAUGUUUCAGAGUUUAAAAUUUAAUAUCAAAAACAUGAUUUAUAUAGCUAGCAACGUCGUAGAAACGAGCGAUAAGAAUGUAAUAAAAUUAUAUUCUGUUGGUGCAAUUAUGCGACGCGUCUAAUGUUCUGGAAUGUACUACGCGUCCAGUACACUGCAUGAUACGGUAUUCGUUCAAUGAGUUUCCAUAAAAUUUUAAAUAGAGGCUCUAUUUCCUAACACACAAUAACAACGUUGGAAUUCAAAAGUCGGUUUCAACAUGGUACUGACUCCAAGGCCUUAGUUUCUGGUGAUCACCUCUCAGCAAUCAUAUCAAAGGGAGGCAACUGUAAUGGUAGGGAGGCACCUCGCUGGUGAUGUGGGGAUCCACGGCGUGCACGGGCGUGUAGAUGGCGGACCUCACGGACCUCUUGGACCCCUGCUCGUUGUACAGCGCGUACGGGUUGAACAACAUCUCGUGGAGGUGCGUGUAGCUCACCGUGCCCGUGCUCAGGUCCACGUUAUGGAUCAGGCCCUGCACACACAUUGAGGAUGUCAGUGGGGCCUUCGAGAACGGCGGUGCGAGAAGACGAUAUCUGUUUCAUUGUGAGAGUUACCGGCAGCAGCGUGUGAGCGAAUCUGAAGGCUGCGGCGGAGAAGUGGUUCGCGAUGGAAGGGUCCACGGUGGAGUCGUACACGGUCGCGUACCCCGACUCCUGCAGCGUGAGGUUCAACGACCACAUCACGUCCUCCCCUACAUGUAGGAAGCGACCAUGUGACUAAUGAUUCCGUCUCUAAAUGUUUUAUAUGACUAAGUCCAGAAUUUAUCUGUGACAAUCUCUCUUUCGAACUACCUAGUAUAGAUGGUAAGAAUUCUGCGUAUGUGAUAUGCUGCAUCUGGGCUCCGACUAUCCUGCGCGUCUCCUGGAACAGCUGCUGGUCGUCCCAGGCGGGGUUGAGCUGCUGGAGGCGCGCUGCCACGCGGUUGUGUUGUCGUGCCCAUAGCAGGUGCAUCGUCGUCAGAUGGAGGUUCUCGUUAGCGCGGUCGUCGCCUAGGAUUAGUAUUGAUACAGAAACUACUCCUGACCCCUAGCUCAUGGUUACAACAAAACCUGCCAUGAACUUUAAAGAAUAUACUGUUUUGAAAUGGAGACUUCAGAUACGAAGAAAGAUUUGAAUGAUAAGGAUUUCCAUAACGGGACUGGAAUCCAUUGUUUAAGAAAGGACUUUAUUAAUUUUCAAUGAAAAAUCUCGUACCCGAUUCGAAGCAGUAGCGUCCUUUGGCGUUCAUCUCGACCGUGUUACAUCCGUCGUUGGGGUCGGUGGAGGGCGGAAGCAGCUCCCAGGGGCCGAGCUUCAACAUCCGCAGCUGACCGUUGGCUCCCGCACGGAGCUGGUUGGUCUUGUUCUCCAUGAAGCUGUACACCGUCGACGCGUCCAGGAACGCUGUCGCCUGGUUCAGCUGCUCGCGGUGACCUUCGACGUUUCGGUUUGAUAUAAAAGAAAAGUGAACCCAGAAAUUUCUUGUAAAAAAUAAAAAUAACUCUUCACGAGUUUGGAAUACUUGAAACUUGUAGCACGAAAUAUGUUGGGGAAGGUUUUUGAAUCUAAUGUCGAAAUAAUCUUAAAAUGCCGCUACAUCAUACACAGUAAUGCAUAGUUAUUGCGGGGUUAUAGUCUGUAGAGUGCGUUUCCAGCAGAGCACGCGAGGGUUGUUUCUGUUACAGCAAAAGUUUUCCGAGUACUCCAAGCUGAUUUCUGACUGUUUUUAAGACGUACCGAAAUGGCAGGUAGGCGCAGGCGCUGACCUCACAAACUCCAUGCAUGUGAGGUUGUAGUCCUGGUAGAAGGGGUCCUCCGGGUCCAGCUUCACCGGGAAGCACUCCGGGUGUAUUGUCAUGUCGGUGCAGCAAGAGAUGGGAGUGCUGUUGGCUCCUGCGGAGACUUCAAUUAUGUAACCAACUGUCUCUCUUGAUAUCCGAGGUCUUAAAGUGAGGGUCUUCAUUCAGAAAUCUAUACCAACAAUCUGGUUUGCUUUACUGUCUGUCCUUCCUAAGUUAAUGCAAGAUCUUCAUAGAAAAAGGUUUAAUAUAAUCUGAUCGUCUCACCCUUGUUGAGAGCGGUGGCUGUGAUGUCGUGGUCUAUGAACUGUCCCCACACGGCGAGCAUCACGGUGAACUGUGUGUCGUGAGCGUAGCUGGGUCUGUGCACCGUUACGCUGACAUCUCGAGCGCUGGGCAGAGGAGCGCCGUUCCAUCCAGUGCGGGGGGAGCUUACACCUGUCGGUUGCAGAUUCUUGUGAAGAUUGUGAAGGGGCAUAGCUGCUUUGGGCAAUAUCUGUACAAGAUCGCGAAAAGAAAGGCAAUACCCUGACGACAAGACUAUAGUGUAAGAAGGAAGUCCCAUUCACCCCUCACUCUCAUCCUUUGGGACGGAGGGAAGUAAUAAAUGGUUACCUCAAACGAACAAAAGUUUUGAAAUGUGAGGAGUACCUAAUUUAAUUUGAAUGCAUUAAAGAUAGAAGUGUCACCGGGCCUGUCUCCAAAAAUUGCCACACCAAUUCCACUGCGAGUUAGAUAAAUAUUAAAAUGUAAUAAUUUUUCUCUCACCGUCACCGUAGUCUGGUGGCAGGACUCGUCUGAACGGUGUAUUGGAGACGCCCCAGAGUAGAGGAUGGUCCAGGUUGUUACAAGAGCCAUCCUGCGUCCUGUACUUAGAGAUGACGCAGGGCGCGGUGGGCGGGCGGCAGUACGCUGGCUCCGGGAACGACCCGUUGGUUGCUGGACCCACACCGACUGCGCCAACCGCAUCGGGUAUCUCAGUGCUGGAGAGAAGAAUUAUUUACGGCAAUAUAGUGUUUUUAUUAUUACAUACAAUGGAUUAAGCCGGAAGUACCUAGAAGUGUCAAUAAAAUGCGGUCCAUCUUCCUUCAAAUGCAUGUAAUCAUUUUGAUGAUGGAAAAUUUAGGUCUUUUUAAUUAAUACAUUGUUUUAAAAGAGGAA